rnacentral:misc_RNA from 1 species
GCGAGUAUAACUCUCUAAACCAUUGUGAACGAACGAACCCGUUGCUUCGGCGGACGGCUCUGCUGCCGCCGGAAGAACGCAAACUCUUGUUAUUAUUGUUUCUCUGAGUAGCUAUAUAAUAGUUA